rnacentral:rRNA from 1 species
UACGUAGGGGGCAAGCGUUGUCCGGAAUCAUUGGGCGUAAAGAGCGUGUAGGCGGCUCGGUAAGUCCGCUGUAAAAGUCCAGGGCUCAACCCUGGAAAGCCGGUGGAAACUGUCGAGCUAGAGUCCGGAAGAGGCGAGUGGAAUUCCUGGUGUAGCGGUGGAAUGCGCAGAUAUCAGGAGGAACACCAACGGCGAAGGCAGCUCGCUGGGACGGUACUGACGCUAAGGCGCGAAAGCGUGGGGAGCGAACAGG